rnacentral:rRNA from 1 species
CCUACGGGGGGCUGCAGUGGGGAAUGUUGGACAAUGGGGGCAACCCUGAUCCAGCCAUGCCGCGUGUGUGAAGAAGGCCCUCGGGUUGUAAAGCACUUUCAGUGAGGAAGAACGCCUGGUGGUUAAUACCCAUCAGGAAAGACAUCACUCACAGAAGAAGCACCGGCUAACUCCGUGCCAGCAGCCGCGGUAAUACGGAGGGUGCGAGCGUUAAUCGGAAUUACUGGGCGUAAAGCGCGCGUAGGUGGCUUGAUAAGCCGGUUGUGAAAGCCCCGGGCUCAACCUGGGAACGGCAUCCGGAACUGUCAAGCUAGAGUGCAGGAGAGGAAGGUAGAAUUCCCGGUGUAGCGGUGAAAUGCGUAGAGAUCGGGAGGAAUACCAGUGGCGAAGGCGGCCUUCUGGACUGACACUGACACUGAGGUGCGAAAGCGUGGGUAGCAAACAGGAUUAGAUACCCGUGUAGUC